GAUGAACGCUGGCGGCGGGCCUAAUACAUGCAAGCCGAACGACAGCGUUGGUAGCUUUCUUUGGUCUAUAGAGUGGCGAACGGGCGUGUAACACAUGCAUAACCUGCGCGACAGGGGGGGAUCACACCCGGAAAGGGAUUCUACCACCACAUCACCCUGCGAACGCCUCUGAUUGAAGUGAAACAGCAAGGCGUGCCUCAUGGGCAUGCGGGUCCUUAGCUAGAUGGCGGGGUAAAUGCACACCAAGGCGGUGAACAAUAGGGGUACUGAGAGGAAGGUCCCCCACACUGGCACUGAGAUACGGGCCAGACUCCUACGGGAGGCAGCAGUAGGGAAUAUAGGACAAUGGUUGCAAGACUGAUACAGCCAGGCCGCGUGCAGGAAGAAGGCCUUCUGGGUCGUAAUCUGCUGUGUCCUGUGGAUAAAAGACCCGUGCGCGGCGAAUUGAAGGUAACAAGGGAAUAAGCCACGGCUAACUACGUG
rnacentral:rRNA from 1 species